GACGGACAAGGUCCAGAGGAAGUCAAGGGACUUAAAGUACACAGAAUCAGAAGAAAUCUUGCACCAAUAAUUAAGUUUUGGUUCAGCACAUGGUGGAAGGAAAGAAGGAAGCAAACUACCAGCUUGUAAAGAGAACCAUGUGGCAAAGAGAGGUGUUCUCUAGUAGCUGCGAUCCUUCAUCCUGCAACCACAGAAACUGAAUUCUGCCAACAGUGAUCUUGGAAGAGUUCCUGGAGCACCAGGAGAGUUCAUGGGGUCUGGCCAACUCCUUGCACUGAACCUGGUGAGACUCUGAGCAGGAAACUAAGCAAGUUGCUGGUACCCAGACUUCUGAGGCAGGUAUCUUGCUGUGGCCUUUACCAAAUUCAAGCUAUGGACUUAAACUUGAUCACAUAUUCUUCUAUUGGGUCAUAAGCCCUACUGAGGGUGAAAUACAAUUUUUCUCAGUUAAUUACACAAUAUGCUUGACUAUAGGGAAAAAAUUCCUGAAAUAGAAAACUUGAAAAAAAUUGUAAAAUAAGGGAAUAAUUUGGAAGGCAUUGCAGGAGUAGAUGGAUAAGAGUGAAAAGUUAAUUGAAACUCUUGAGGAAAUAAGAAUCAGAAAAAUGAUGCCGUUUAAAAAAAAAAACAACUAAUGUGUAGAUGUUUAGACUUCAGCUUGGGCUUUCUGCAGUUUUAUUAUCUGUUCAGCAGAUAGUUAUUUAAUUAUUUCAGUUGAUCUUUCUUUUAAUAAAGGAAGCAUGUAACUCAGAGUAAAAUAAAAUAACUCCAGGUUAGAACUAGAGCAAUUUGACCACCAUCUGGAAGAGUGACCUGGUUGAUGACCUUUCACAAUUCCACUUUACUGUCCUCCAUGUUCUUUGAUGUGGAGCUAGAAUCUCUCACCAGGAAGUAAUUUAUAUGCAGAAAAAUGAUAUCAACAUAGCUCUAGGGAACCAUCUUCCUUUAUUUAUUAACUGCAUGUUUCUUUAAUGGGAAUUUCAAUAAAAAUAAGCAUUCAAUAUUUAAAUAUUUAGUUUCUAAGUAAUUUUUGAGAUGCAUAUUUCAACUUUUACAUUC